AGCAGCCGCGGUAAUUCCAGCUCCAAUAGCGUAUAUUAAAGUUGCUGCAGUUAAAAAAGCUCGUAGUUGAAUUUCGGGACCAUCAUGUCGGUCGUGCCUCGGUACGUACUGGCAUCGUUGGUUUCUCCCUUCUGACGAACCAUGAUGUCAUUUAUUUGGUGUUGUGGGGAAUCAGGACUGUUACUUUGAAAAAAUUAGAGUGUUUAAAGCAGGCUCACGCUUGAAUACAUUAGCAUGGAAUAAUGAAAUAGGACGUUUGAUUCUAUUUUGUUGGUUUCUAGGAUCGACGUAAUGAUUAAUAGGGAUAGUUGGGGGCAUUAGUAUUCAAUUGUCAGAGGUGAAAUUCUUGGAUUUAUUGAAGACUAACUACUGCGAAAGCAUUUGCCAAGGAUGUUUUCAUUAAUCAAGAACGAAAGUUAGGGGAUCGAAGACGAUCAGAUACCGUCGUAGUCUUAACCAUAAACUAUGCCGACUAGGGAUCGGAUGGUGUUAAUUUUUUAAUGUACUCAUUCGGCGUCCG
rnacentral:rRNA from 1 species